UACGAAGGGGGCUAGCGUUGCUCGGAAUUACUGGGCGUAAAGCGUGCGCAGGCGGUUUUGUAAGCCAGAUGUGAAAUCCCCGGGCUUAACCUGGGAAUGGCAUUUGGGACUGCAAGGCUUGAGUGCGGCAGAGGAGACUGGAAUUCCUAGUGUAGCAGUGAAAUGCGUAGAUAUCAGGAGGAACACCGAUGGCGAAGGCAGGUCUCUGGGCUGACACUGACGCUCAUGCACGAAAGCGUGGGGAGCAAACAGG
rnacentral:rRNA from 1 species